CCUGAGGCCAAGCCUGCCAGCACCCCUGAGUCUUCAGAACUCUACAGGACUCUUUCCAUCAAUGACCCACCAAGGAUGGAGAAGGACAGAGACCACAUGGCUGUAAGGAUAUUGGACCUCACCCUGGAGAUCAUCUCCUUGGUAACUGGAGAGGAUUACACAGUAGUGAAGAAGUCGUCUGGUGAGUGUGUGACACCCCGUGUGUCAGGAG